AUGGCGUGUCAAACUAUGCUUGUUAAGAUCACACCUCCACUAAAAAUCAAGGAAAUAUCUUCACUUGAAGAGAAAGCCACAACAGAGACUUGCCAUGUGAGGAAGACAUGGGUUUUAACGAAAAGCCACCUACAUAGGUUGCAGAUCUGCGAAAAGUGCAAACAGUGGACGGCUUCUAAGUUAGGAGUCAAAGAGUUCUUACCACCGUACAUUGGAGAUGAUCUUGAACUAAGUGACCUACUUACUGGUGUCGCAUUUGCCUCUGGAGGCAGUGGAUAUGAUCCCUUAACUUCGAUACCCGCGACUGCUACUUCAAGUACCGGGCAACUUGAAUUAUUUCUUGAAUAUAAGGAUAAGCUAAUAACUUUAGUCGGGGAGGAGGAAGCGACACGUGUUAUCUCUGAAGGCAUUUACUUUACUGCCAUGGGAGCAAAUGACAUUGCAAAUAAUUAUUUUUCAAUUCUGCUAAGGCGCCAUCAAUAUGAUCUUCCUUCUUAUGUGAAAUUUCUUAUCUCUUCCGCAGUCAAUUUUACUAUGGAAUUAAAUGAUAUUGGUGCAAAGAGGAUUGGUUUCUUCGGAAUUCCGCCAAUUGGAUGUUGUCCAUCCGAAAGAAAACAUGGAUCAAGAGAAUGUGACACACUUCAGAAUCAAGCAGCAGAAUUAUUCAAUUCUAGAAUAGAAAAGGAAAUUGAGAGAUUAAAUGCAGAACGAAAUGUUCAUGAUUCAAGGUUUGCUUAUCUUGAUAUAUACUACAAUCUGCUUGAUCUCAUUCAACAACAUGAUUUUUAUGGAAAACAACUUUCACAUGGAGAAAGUCAGUAG
rnacentral:rRNA from 1 species